GUAAACUUCCAAAGUACCAUCAGGACCCUACAACAGAAGACUUAGCCAAAACACUCGAUUGUUGGUCAUCAAUGAAUUAUUAUAUCAUGAGAUGUAGAUAUGUUCUUUUGCCAUGGAAAUUUAACGGAUGUUACACCCUUUUCAUAAUAGAUCAUGUUAAAAAGCAUGUGACUUUUAUCAACUUUACACCGACUCAAGAUUGGUAUAAGCACAUGCCAACAAGAGGUUCGCAGAAACGAUUAUCAUGGCCUCAAAGAAAUAUAAGAUUGCCUACAACAAGAAACGUUCUGGAUGGGCAGGGGAUAUUUUUAAGUGGGAACAUACAAUUCGGACUGGUAUUCCAAUUGACUUAAGAGGGUUAAUACCAGCUAACUCGUUCUACAAGCUAUGACCAUGUGGGGGAAUGACAUACGAAUGGAAUUUAUU